rnacentral:misc_RNA from 1 species
GAAACGCGAUAAGUAAUCUGAAUUGCAGAAUUCAGUGAAUCAUCGAAUCUUUGAACGUACAUGGCGCCUUCCAGUAUCCUGGGAGGCAUGCCUGUCCGAGCGUCGUUUCAACCCUCGAGCCCCUGUGGCCCGGCGUUGGGGAUCUGCCCAGGCAGGCCCCGAAAACCAGUAGCGGACCCGUUACAGGCCCUUCCUUUGCGUAGUAAUACUGCCUCGCAUCGGGAGCCGGCGGGCUUCCAGCCUCUAAUCCCCCAGCAAGUCCGCCCCAACGGCACCAAGGUUGACCUCGGCUCAGGUAGGAAUACCCGCUGAACUCAA